rnacentral:tRNA from 1 species
GCGCCGGUGGUGUAGUGGCGAGCAUGGUUGUAUCCCAAGCAGCAGAUCCGGGUUCGAUUCCCGGCCGGCGCA